UAGCUCAGCUGGUAGAGCAGAGG
rnacentral:tRNA from 1 species